ensembl:lncRNA
AAAUAGGCCACGUGAACACCCUGCCCUAUAGACUUAUGACCCAACGGCUGUCGCGCUUUUGGAGGGCGGGCUAAGAACCUAAGAGGGCGAGCGUCAUUGGCCAGAGCACGCACUAAAGGAGAAAGAUGAUUGGCUUGCUUCAAGCCUUAACCGUGAAGAAGCAGGUUGCUAGCACCCGCCUUUACUGCGGCGAAGUGUCAUCGCUGACGUGUUAGGCCUCGUCCAAUCAUUUGGUUAUGGAACAUUCUAAAACUUAAACAAGACGAUUGUGAUUGGCUGGAGGCUAUAAGCCCACCUCCAGGGUGACGUGUCUGCCUAUGGAUAUCAGUUGCCAGAGAAACCUGGCUUUACUAUGGCGGUUGGAGGGACGGCAGUGAUCACACGUCGGCUGCUGGAAAGAACUGGAUUCUCGUUUCAGGCCAUCAUCAGAAAAGCUAAGUUCGCUGUAUAGUAAGGAUCAGAAGAUCUGAUCCUGAUUGCAGAACCAUCCCAAUUACAGAAUCUGGGUUGUGUCUCCCACCUCAUCCUUCCAGACCAUCCCAGGAGAUAUAGGAGGUUCCAUCGGGGAAAACACUAGGAGUUCUUGGAAGGGAAAGAAGGAAGAGGAUUAUGUAAGUCAAAAAAAUUGCUUCAUCUGUCACACUAUAAGAAUCAUAGAACACUAUUUUUUCAUCUUUAUCUCACAGUUCUCUCUGCUGCAUUUUGUACUGAAUAUUCUUCCUUGCCCUUCUUAAGACUCUCAACUUCUUUGGCUUCCAAAACAACAUUCUCCUAAUUCUUCUAUGGCUGCUCUGACCAUUUUUGUUCUGUUCUUGGUCUCUCUGCUCACCCCUUAAAUAUUCUUUUUAGGUUUUUCCAGAAUUUCAUACUUUGGUGCAGUUUUUCUUCCUCUUCUUUCCAUGAAUGAUUUUGAUGGCUUUCAUAGCUUCCAGUAGCAGCUGUUUGAUGAUUACUCUCAGAUCUCCGUUAUGGCUCUGACCCUCACCCGAGGUUUAAAGUUAAAUGUCUAACUGUAUACCUCACACUUCGUAGAUCCAGUACUGAACUUCUUUCCUCUCUAAUCCACUUCCUCCUUUAGAUGCACUCUCAUUUGGUGAUAAUACUAAUGACCUAAUACCCCUUCUCAAAACCUGGGAAUCAUCACUGACUUCUCCCUCACUGAUUUAUCACCUCCUCCAACAAGCUGAGACUGAAAGCAGUGUCAUGUACCAUUUCUUGUUUGCUCCAAAGUACUCUGUGCCUAUAACUGUCAUUGUACUAACCUUGUUUUUUUAAUUGCCACUUGAGAUAUUUGAAUCCCUAGCACCUAGCAUAGUACCUGUCCCAAAACAAAUAUGCAUUAAUGUAUGAUGACUAAUUGAAUGGAUGAAUUAUUUCUUUCCUAUUACUUUAUUGCUGAUUCUAAACUAACCAUUAAAAUCAGUGUUUUUAUUAAUUCAUUAAUUACCCAGGUUUAAAAUUACAGAGCCACCUUUGACUUCUCCCUCUUCAUUUACCAAGUUCUAUAUUCGGUUUCUCUUGACUCUGUCACCACCCUAGUUCAGGCCUACCUGGACUCCUACAAAAACAUUUUACUGUUACUCAUUUUGCCUCCAGUCAACUAAUCUUUCUUAUUUCUUUCAACUUGUCAUUUCUCCUGUUCAGAGUAUUUAAUUUCAAUUCUGCCUUCUGCAGUUUUAUUCCAUUUAAUUCAUUCUUUUUCUAAAAUUAUAUUCCUGUCUUUUGAGUGGCACCAAAAAACUAACUUUCGGUCAAGUCCGAUUGAGUGAUCGGAUGGGGGGUGAGAGUAGUGGUUGGUAGUGACGAUCAAAGAGGGUGGAAGUAGGAAGUCACUUACAGAUGAUCCUGAACUAGGAUUUGAAAUCCAAAUUCCCAGAGAAUAGCUUCUGUUUUACUUUGGUAGGCCUUUAAGAAGCAGUGUGUGUUAAAGGUCACAAUAGAAAACAACCAAGUAAAAUCCUUUAUAUAUUACAGUGGUUGGAAUAAAAACAGG